rnacentral:rRNA from 1 species
AUUUGCGCAUGGGACGAAGUCUGACGCAGCAACGCCGCGUGAGUGAGGAAGGCCUUCGGGUUGUAAAGCUCUGUCAGAUGGGAAGAAAACUACUGGUCUAAUAGGCCAUGUACUUGACGGUACCAUCAAAGGAAGCACCGGCUAACUUCGUGCCAGCAGCCGCGGUAAUACGAAGGGUGCAAGCGUUACUCGGAUUUACUGGGCGUAAAGCGCGCGCAGGCGGACAGUUAAGCCAGAUGUGAAAUCCCAGGGCUCAACCCUGGAACUGCGUCUGGAACUGGUUGUCUAGAAUAUUGGAGAGGGAAUGGGAAUUUCUCAUGUAGGGGUAAAAUCCGUAGAGAUGAGAAGGAACACCAGAGGCGAAGGCGCAUUCCUGGCCAAUUAUUGACGCUGAGGCGCGAAAGCGUGGGGAUCAAACAGGAUUAGAUACCCUGGUAGUCCACGCUGUAAACGAUGUGCACUAGAUGUGGGGAUGUGUCCAUUUCCGCGUCAAAGCUAACGCAUUAAGUGCACCGCCUGGGGAGUACGGUCGCAAGACUAAAACUCAAAGAAUUUGGACGGG